CCCCGUAAUUCAGCGGUCAAGAAGCCAGGACUUUGAAUCCUGGAGCCAUGGUUCGAAUCCAUGCGGGGGGA
rnacentral:tRNA from 1 species